GACGAACACUGGCGGCGUGCUUAACACAUGCAAGUCGAACGGAAAGGCCUCUUUCGGGGGGUACUCGAGUGGCGAACGGGUGAGUAACACGUGAGUAACCUGCCCUUGACUUUGGGAUAACUUCAGGAAACUGGGGCUAAUACCGGAUAGGAGCUCCUGCUGCAUGGUGGGGGUUGGAAAGUUUCGGCGGUUGGGGAUGGACUCGCGGCUUAUCAGCUUGUUGGUGGGGUAGUGGCUUACCAAGGCUUUGACGGGUAGCCGGCCUGAGAGGGUGACCGGCCACAUUGGGACUGGGAUUCGGCCCAGACUCCUACGGGAAGGAGCAGUGGGGGAUAUUGCACAAUGGGUGGGAGCCUGAUGCAGCAACGCCGUGUGCGGGAUGGCGGCCUUCGGGUUGGAAACCGCUUUCGCUCAUGACGGAGCUUUGUGUGACGGUAGUGGGUAAAGAAGCACCGGCUAACUACGUG
rnacentral:rRNA from 1 species